UCUGAUGGAAGCUGGAGUGAUUAUGACUGUGGGGUGCCCGAAUUUUUCAUCUGCAACAAUGGAACACCGGAGGAACCCGAAUUUGUUCUUGUGAAUGAGACGAAAAGUUGGCCCAAAGCUAAGAGUUACUGCAGGGAACACUUUGUAGACCUGGCCACGGUGAGGAACGACGUGGAGAAUCAGGCGCUCUCCAGCUUGAUACCGUUGGGAUACUGGGCUUGGAUCGGUCUGCAUAGAGAUGGAACUUUCUACUGGUCUGACGAGAACAUCUUCAACUUCGCAAACUGGGAUGGAGUUGUAAAUCCAUUAAACUCAACGAGUGUCUUAUGCGGUGCUACGUUACACCCAAGAUCCGGAAAAUGGAGGCUUCUUUCCUGUGAAAGAAAAUUACCAUUUGCCUGUUACAGUUAUCCCAUACCAGAUAAGAACCAGUGGGUGAAGCUGAGACUGAAGGUGGAGGACUCUGUGGACGUGAAGGAUCCUGCUGUGGAAGCAGAGCUCCUGAAACAG